rnacentral:rRNA from 1 species
UGUAAGUGUGGGUGGUAGGGGAGCAUUGUGUAAGUCUGAGAAGGUGUGUUGUAAGGCAUGCUGGAGAUAUCACAAGAGCGAAUGCUGACGUGAGUAACGACAAAACGGGUGAAAAGCCCGUUCGCCGGAAGACCAAGGGUUCCAGUCCAACGUUAAUCGGGGCUGGGUGAGUCGACCCCUAAGGUGAGGCCGAAAGGCGUAAUCGAUGGGAAAUUGGUUAAUAUUCCAAUACUUGUUUAAGAUGCGAUGGAGGGACGAAGAAGGUUAUGCCAGCCUAGUGAUGGUAAUCUAGGUGGAAGGGUGUAGGUAGGUUUAGUAGGCAAAUCCGCUGAACUAAUACUAAGACCUGAUAGCAAGCCGAAAGGCGAAGUGGCAAAUACCAUGCUUCCAAGAAAAGCUUCUAAGCGAUAGUUUUAAACGAAUCGUACCCGAAACCGACACAGGUGGUCAGGUAGAGAAUACCAAGGCGCUUGAGAGAACUCUGCUGAAGGAACUAGGCAAAAUGGUACCGUAACUUCGGGAGAAGGUACGCUGCCGAUGGUGAGUGGACACGCUUCACAAAGCUAUUGGCAGUCGCAGAUACCAGGUCGCUGCAACUGUUUAUUAAAAACACAGCACUCUGCAAACACGAAAGUGGACGUAUAGGGUGUGAUGCCUGCCCGGUGCUGGAAGGUUAAUUGAUGGGGUUAGCGCAAGCGAAGCCCUUGAUCGAAGCCCCAGUAAACGGCGGCCGUAACAAUAACGGUCCUAAGGUAGCGAAAUUCCUUGUCGGGUAAGUUCCGACCUGCACGAAUGGCAUAAUGAUGGCGACGCUGUCUCCAGCAGAGACUCAGUGAAAUCGAAAUCGCAGUGAAGAUGCUGUGUACCCGCGGCUAGACGGAAAGACCCCGUGAACCUUUACUACAGCUUUACAUUGAACUUUGACCUUACCUGUGUAGGAUAGGUGGGAGGCUUUGAAGCAUGCACGCCAGUGUGUGUGGAGCUGACCUUGAAAUACCACCCUGGUAAUGUUGGGGUUCUAACUUCGGAUUAACAGAUCCAAGGACAAUGUAUGGUGGGUAGUUUGACUGGGGCGGUCUCCUCCUAAAGAGUAACGGAGGAGUACGAAGGUGCGCUCAGAACGGUCGGAAAUCGUUCAAAGAGUAUAAAGGCAGAAGCGCGCUUAACUGCGAGACCCACAAGUCGAGCAGGUACGAAAGUAGGUCUUAGUGAUCCGGUGGUUCUGUAUGGAAGGGCCAUCGCUCAACGGAUAAAAGGUACUCUGGGGAUAACAGGCUGAUACCGCCCAAGAGUUCAUAUCGACGGCGGUGUUUGGCACCUCGAUGUCGGCUCAUCUCAUCCUGGGGCUGAAGCAGGUCCCAAGGGUAUGGCUGUUCGCCAUUUAAAGAGGUACGCGAGCUGGGUUUAGAACGUCGUGAGACAGUUCGGUCCCUAUCUACCGUGGGCGUUGGAAAUUUGAGAGGAUCUGCUCCUAGUACGAGAGGACCAGAGUGGACGAACCUCUGGUGGUUCGGUUGUCACGCCAGUGGCACAGCCGAGUAGCUAUGUUCGGAUGGGAUAACCGCUGAAAGCAUCUAAGCGGGAAGCCCACCUCAAGAUGAGAUUUCCCCAAAGAGCCGUUCUAGACCAGGACGUUGAUAGGUUGGGUGUGGAAGUGCAGCGAUGCAUGGAGCUAACCAAUACUAAUUGCUCGUUUGACUUGA